rnacentral:rRNA from 1 species
GACGAACCGUCCAAACGUUAUUCGGAAUCACUGGGCUUAAAGGGCGCGUAGGCGGCCGAGCGGGUCACGGGUGAAAUCCUCCAGCUUAACUGGAGAACUGCCCUUGAUACCACUGCGGCUCGAGGAAGGAAGGGGUCAUGGGAACUGUCGGUGGAGCGGUGAAAUGCGUUGAUAUCGACAGGAACGCCGGUGGCGAAAGCGCACGACUGGUCCUUUUCUGACGCUGAGGCGCGAAAGCCAGGGGAGCAAACGGG